rnacentral:rRNA from 1 species
UACAGAGGGUGCAAGCGUUAAUCGGAAUUACUGGGCGUAAAGGGCGCGUAGGUGGUUGAUUAAGUCAGAUGUGAAAUCCCUGGGCUUAACCUAGGAAUUGCAUUUGAUACUGAUCAGCUAGAGUAUGGUAGAGGGAAGUGGAAUUUCAGGUGUAGCGGUGAAAUGCGUAGAUAUCUGAAGGAACACCAGUGGCGAAGGCGGCUUCCUGGACCAUUACUGACACUGAGGCGCGAAAGCGUGGGGAGCGAACAGG